CCCUAGUAACUGCGAGUGAAGCGGGAUAAGCUCAAAUUUAAAAUCUGAUGGUUCCGCCGUCCGAGUUGUAGUCUGGAGAAGCGUUUUCCGCAUUGGACCAUGUACAAGUCUCUUGGAAUAGAGCGUCGUAGAGGGUGAGAAUCCCGUCUUUGACAUGGACUCCCAAUGCUUUUGUGAUGCGCUCUCAAAGAGUCGAGUUGUUUGGGAAUGCAGCUCAAAAUGGGUGGUAAAUUCCAUCUAAAGCUAAAUAUUGGCGAGAGACCGAUAGCAAACAAGUACCGUGAGGGAAAGAUGAAAAGCACUUUGGAAAGAGAGUUAAACAGUACGUGAAAUUGUUGAAAGGGAAACGCUUGAAGUCAGUCGCAUUGUUGAAGACUCAGCCUAGCUUUGCUUGGUGUAUUUCUUCCUCAAUGGGUCAGCAUCAAUUUGAGUCAUUGGAAAAGGAUCACUGGAAUGUGGCAUCUCUCGGGAUGUGUUAUAGCUUGUGAAUCGUAUACAGUGGCUUGGAUUGAGGAUCUCUAUUACAGGAUGCUGGCAUAAUGGCUUUAAGCGACCCGUCU
rnacentral:rRNA from 1 species